rnacentral:rRNA from 1 species
AGGGUUCGAUCAUGGCUCAGGACGAACGCUGGCGGCGUGCUUAACACAUGCAAGUCAAGGAGAACAUUUCCUUCGGGAAAUUAUUAAACUGGCGAACGGGUGAGUAACGCGUAGGCAACCUGCCCUAGAGAUUGGGAUAACUCCGGGAAACCGGUGCUAAUACCGAAUAAUGCAGCGGAUCCUUCGGGAUACAGUUGUUAAAGCGGGCUUCGGCUCGCACUUUAGGAUGGGCCUGCGUCCGAUUAGCUUGUUGGUAGGGUAACGGCUUACCAAGGCGAUGAUCGGUAGCUGGUCUGAGAGGAUGAUCAGCCACACUGGGAUUGAGAUACGGCCCAGACCCCUACGGGAGGCAGCAGUGGGGAAUUUUGCGCAAUGGGGGAAACCCUGACGCAGCAACGCCGCGUGACCGAUGAAGCUUCUAGGAGCGUAAAGGUCUGUCGUAAGGGAAGAAAAGUUUGGAUGUAAAUAAUGUUCGAACCUGACGGUACCUUACAAGAAAGCACCGGCUAACUUAGUGCCAGCAGCCGCGGUAAUAC